AAAGGCUUAGCUUUCCUUUAAGAGACUAGUGAAUAUACAGGCCUCUGCUAUGGGGGUGAUGGCCAGUCCUGGUGUCUGAGUGAUU